rnacentral:sRNA from 1 species
CUACUUUUUAUCCCUUGUCUCCGGGUGGUGUUGGACAGAUCACCCCACCUCUUGGCUGGUUUUCCCAUCAUAUGAUUCCCGGUCCUCCUGGUCCCCACACAACUGGCAUCCCUCAUCCAGCUAUUGUAACACCUCAGGUCAAACAGGAACAUCCCCACACUGACAGUGACCUAAUGCACGUGAAGCCUCAGCAUGAACAGAGAAAGGAGCAGGAGCCAAAAAGACCUCACAUUAAGAAGCCUCUGAAUGCUUUUAUGUUAUACAUGAAAGAAAUGAGAGCAAAUGUCGUUGCUGAGUGUACUCUAAAAGAAAGUGCAGCUAUCAACCAGAUUCUUGGCAGAAGGUGGCAUGCCCUCUCCCGUGAAGAGCAGGCUAAAUAUUAUGAAUUAGCACGGAAAGAAAGACAGCUACAUAUGCAGCUUUAUCCAGGCUGGUCUGCAAGAGACAAUUAUGGUAAGAAAAAGAAGAGGAAGAGAGAGAAACUACAGGAAUCUACAUCAGGUGGAAAACGAAGCUCAUUCCCAACAUGCAAAGCCAAGGCAGCGACCCCAGGACCUCUUCUGGAGAUGGAAGCUUGUUGAAAACCCAGACUGUCUCCACGGCCUGCCCAGUCGACCCCAAAGGAACACUGACAUCAAUUUUACCCUGAGGUCACUGCUAGAGACGCUGAUCCAUAAAGACAAUCACUGCCAACCCCUCUUUCGUCUACUGCAAGAGCCAAGUUCCAAAAUAAAGCAUAAAAAGGUUUUUUAAAAGGAAAUGUAAAAGCACAUGAGAAUGCUAGCAGGCUGUGGGGCAGCUGAGCAGCUUUUCUCCCCUCAUAUCUGCGUGCACUUCCCAGAGCAUCUUGCAUCCAAACCUGUAACCUUUCGGCAAGGACAGUAACUUGGCUGCAUUUGCCUGUCAUGCGCAACUGGAGCCAGCAACCAGCACAUCCAUCAGCACCCCAGUGGAGGAGUUCAUGGAAGAGUUCCCUCUUUGUUUCUGUCUUCAUUUUUCUUUCUUUUCUUUUCUCCUAAAGCUUUUAUUUAACAGUGCAAAAGGAUCGUUUUUUUUUGCUUUUUUAAACUUGAAUUUUUUAAAUU